GGACAGAGUGACAGGUGGUGCAUGGUUGUCGUCAGCUUGUGUCGUGAGAUGUUGGGUUAAGUCCCGCAACGAGCGCAACCCUUGAUCUUAGUUGCCAGCAUUCAGUUGGGCACUCUAAGGUGACUGCCGGUGACAAACCGGAGGAAGGUGGGGAUGACGUCAAAUCAUCAUGCCCCUUAUGACCUGGGCUACACACGUGCUACAAUGGACAGAACAAAGGGCUGCGAGACCGCAAGGUUUAGCCAAUCCCACAAAUCUGUUCUCAGUUCGGAUCGCAGUCUGCAACUCGACUGCGUGAAGCUGGAAUCGCUAGUAAUCGCGGAUCAGCAUGCCGCGGUGAAUACGUUCCCGGGCCUUGUACACACCGCCCGUCACACCACGAGAGUUUGCAACACCCGAAGUCGGUGAGGUAACCUUUAUGGAGCCAGCCGCCGAAGGUGGGGCAGAUGAUUGGGGUGAAGUCGUAACAAGGUAGC
rnacentral:rRNA from 1 species